rnacentral:rRNA from 1 species
AUUGAACGCUGGCGGCAUGCCUUACACAUGCAAGUCGAGCGGCAGCACGGGAGCAAUCCUGGUGGCGAGUGGCGAACGGGUGAGUAAAGUAUCGGAACGUGCCCAGUCGUGGGGGAUAACGUAGCGAAAGUUACGCUAAUACCGCAUACGAUCUAUGGAUGAAAGCGGGGGAUCGCAAGACCUCGCGCGAUUGGAGCGGCCGAUAUCAGAUUAGGUAGUUGGUGGGGUAAAGGCCCACCAAGCCGACGAUCUGUAGCUGGUCUGAGAGGACGACCAGCCACACUGGGACAGAGACACGGCCCAGACUCCUACGGGAGGCAGCAGUGGGGAAUUUUGGACAAUGGGCGAAAGCCUGAUCCAGCCAUGCCGCGUGCAGGAUGAAGGCCUUCGGGUUGUAAACUGCUUUUGUACGGAACGAAAAGGACUGCCCUAAUACGGUGGUCCCAUGACGGUACCGUAAGAAUAAGCACCGGCUAACUACGUGCCAGCAGCCGCAGUAAAAC